GUGAUACCCUUCUCUUUCAUUUAUUAAGUGAAUAUCCUGAUGAUUUGAUUGUUGAUACUGAUCAGUUCCGAAAUCAGAGAUAGUGAUCGACAGUGGUGAUAGUUACGAUGAUGCUAUCAAUGACUGACGGUGGUGGUGA
rnacentral:ribozyme from 1 species